ensembl:snRNA U2 U2 spliceosomal RNA
AUCGCUUCUCGGCCUUUUGGCUAAGAUCAAGUGUAGAAUUAAUUUAUCUGAGGUUUCUUGAAUGGAAGUCUGGCCCAGAGUAAAUACCAAAAAGUAUUUUUAUUAUUAAAAGAACCAAAU